rnacentral:lncRNA from 8 species
AUGUUGCUACAUAAGACCGAAUCCAGUUGUUAUGACAACAUCACUUCUUUCAACUGUUUCUGCCACUUUUUUAACUCUGUCUUCACACUGUACCUCAUAUACCAGCAGCUCUCUGUCUUCACACCGUACCUCAUAUACCAGCAGCUCUCUGUCUUCACACCGUACCUCUUAUACCAGCAGCUCUAUGUCUUCACACCGUACCUCAUAUACCAGCAGCUCUGUCUUCACACCGUACCUCAUAUACCAGCAGCUCUCUGUCUUCACACCGUACCUCAUAUACCAUCAGCUCUCUGUCUUCACACCGUACCUCAUAUACCAGCAGCUCUCUGUCUUCACACCGUACCUCAUAUACCAGCAGCUCUCUGUCUUCACACCGUACCUCAUAUACCAGCAGCUCUCUGUCUUCACACCGUACCUCAUAUACCAGCAGCUCUCUGUCUUCACACCGUACCUCAUAUACCAGCAGCUCUCUGUCUUCACACCGUACCUCAUAUACCAGCAGCUCUCUGUCUUCACACCGUACCUCAUAUACCAGCAGCUCUCUGUCUUCACACCGUACCUCAUAUACCAGCAGCUCUCUGUCUUCACACCGUACCUCAUAUACCAGCAGCUCUCUGUCUUCACACCGUACCUCAUAUACCAGCAGUUCUCUGUCUUCACACCGUACCUCAUAUACCAUCAGCUCUCUGUCUUCACACCGUACCUCAUAUACCAGCAGCUCUCUGUCUUCACACCGCACCUCAUAUACCAGCAGCUCUCUGUCUUCACACCGUACCUCAUAUACCAGCAGCUCUCUGUCUUCACACCGUACCUCAUAUACCAGCAGCUCUCUGUCUUCACACCGUACCUCAUAUACCAGCAGCUCUCUGUCUUCACACCGUACCUCAUAUACCAGCAGCUCUGUGUCUUCACACCGUACCUCAUAUACCAGCAGCUCUCUGUCUUCACACCGUACCUCAUAUACCAGCAGCUCUCUGUCUUCACACCGUACCUCAUAUACCAGCAGUUAAUUUAACACUCCACUCUUUGUGCCCUGAUAGCUAUGUACAAAUAUUCACAGUGGAAAAAAGACCAACAAUGGGUUAG